AGAGACAGCAGUAGCCGCGGUAAAACGUAGGGUGCAAGCGUUAAUCGGAAUUACUGGGCGUAAAGCGUGCGCAGGCGGUUUGUUAAGACAGAUGUGAAAUCCCCGGGCUCAACCUGGGAACUGCAUUUGUGACUGGCAAGCUAGAGUAUGGCAGAGGGGGGUGGAAUUCCGCGUGUAGCAGUGAAAUGCGUAGAUAUGCGGAGGAACACCGAUGGCGAAGGCAGCCCCCUGGGCCAAUACUGACGCUCAUGCACGAAAGCGUGGGGAGCAAACAGGAUUAGAUACCCGCGUAGUCCCUGUCUCUUAUAC
rnacentral:rRNA from 1 species